rnacentral:rRNA from 1 species
UACAGAGGGGGCAAGCGUUGUUCGGAAUUACUGGGCGUAAAGGGCGCGUAGGCGGCUCUUCAAGUCAGCCGUGAAGUCUCCAGGCUUAACCUGGAAGGGUCGGUUGAUACUGUCGAGCUAGAGUGUGGAAGAGGCAACUGGAAUUCCGUGUGUAGCGGUGAAAUGCGUAGAUAUACGGAGGAACACCUGCGGCGAAGGCGGGUUGCUGGGCCAACACUGACGCUGAGGCGCGAAAGCUAGGGUAGCAAACGGG